GGCUGCAAUGAGCUAUGAUCACAGCACUCCACUCCAACCUGGGUGACAGAGUGAGGCCAGUCUCAAAAAAAAAAAAAAAAAAAGCAGGCAUUUUUGAUACAAUAUUUGUAUUAUCUGCUUAAGACAGUCAGUUUGCUUCCAAAGACUAAACCGAACUUCCACGAAACUCCUUUUGGCAUAGACUGAGUCCAGAGCAAGGAGAUCAGGUGGGUUUACAUAGACAAUGUAACAGUCAGAUUUACCUCCUUUUCUCUUUCCCAGCCAGCGUGGGACCCGGUAGCAGAGGGUGUGGGGGGCGGGUGACAGUCUACCAAAUAUCUCUCUUCUUACGGGAACUCAUAGAGGAAAACAGAUUGGUCGAACGAACCAGUCAUAUUAUGCAAAGCUCGUCCAAAUCCUCUGGUUUCCUUAACUUGGCCAAGAAAAAGAGGAAGUUCUCCGAGUGACUCACAACUGUGGUGCUACUAUGCCUUCUGACCCCAUCUUGGACUUCAUCUGGGAGAAUGUGGAGGCAUUUGAACAGGCUCCUUCUCUGGAGCGUAUUUUCUUCUGUCACAUGUAGAAGAGCUGUAUUGGAUUGUGAGGCAAUGAAAACAAAUGAAUUCCCUUCUCCAUGUUUGGACUCGAAGACUAAUGUGGUUAUGAAGGGUCAAAAUGUAUCUAUGUUUUGCUCCCAUAAGAACAAAUCACUGCAGAUCACCUAUUCAUUGUUUCGACAUAAGACACACCUGGGAACCCAGAAUGGAAAAGGUGAACCUGCAGUUUUUAACCUAAGCAUCACAGAAGCCCAUGAAUCAGGCCCCUACAAAUGCAAAGCCCAAGUUUACAGCUGUUCAAAAUACAGCCGUGACUUCAACUUCACAAUUGUCGACCCGGUGACUGCCCCAGUGCUGAACAUUACGGUCAUUCAAACAGAAACACACCGACAUAUAACAUUACAUUGCCUCUCAGUCAAUGGCUCACUGCCCAUCAAUUACACUUUCUUUGAAAAGCAUAUUGCCAUAUCACCAGCUAUUUCCAAGUACGACAGGGAGUCUGCUGAAUUUAAGUUAACCAGGAAGAAUCCUGGAGAAGAGGAAGAGUAUAGGUGUGAAGCUACAAACAGAUUGCCUGACUAUGCAGCAUCCAGUCAAACUAUCACCAUGCCCUCAACAGGCGGAGACAGCUGUCCUUUCUGUUUGAAGCUACUGCUUCCGGGGUUAUUACUGCUGCUGCUGGUGAUAAUCCUAAUUCUGGCUUUUUGGAUACUGCCCAAAUACAAAGCAAGAAAAGCUAUGAGAAAUAAUGUGCCCAGGGACUGUGGAGACACAGCUGUGGAAGUUGGAAUCUAUGCAAAUAUCCAUGGAAAACAAGCAAAGGCCGAACAUUCCCAGGAGCUACAGUAUGCCACCCCCGUGUUCCGGGAGGUGGCACCAAGAGAGCAAGAAGCCUGUGAUUCUUAUAAACCUGGAUAUGUCUAUUCCGAACUCAACUUCUGAAAUUUACAGAAACAAACUACAUCUCAGGAUUUUCUUACAGUCUGGAGACCAGAAAACUACUGUUGUGACUGUUGUGUUGUUGCCUCUGCCACAGCUGCCUCACACCCAGAAACGAGCCCACCGUGGAGGAGAGCUUUGCCACUGUGGACACUUGCUUCUCAGCCACAACCUUUUGCUUUCCAAACCCCAGCCUGGGCACCUAGUUGGUGGAAGAUACUCACAUCCCUGAUCCCAGGAAUACGUGUUGCAUCUUCCCAAGGAUUUAAAGGGGAGACCUGACCAGAGGAAUGAUCAACAGUGGAUUUGUGAUGCCUGGAGCUCAUUUCCUUCUUUCUCCUUAACUGCCCUGGAAGGAAACGGACUAGUGCCUUAUCUCUGACUCCUCCACAGCACACACCCACCACCAGAGACAGUAACUGAGAUCUGCAGUAGCACAGAAACUUAGAGGUUAGAAAAAUUAGACACCUAAGGAUUUCAUGACUCCAGACCUGUUUCCUUAGCAUAAUACCACACCAGUAAGUGGAAUACAACUUAUGAAAUUUUGUAAAUAAAUUCUAUAAAAUUUGUGGUAAAAAUUUAUUGUUAAAAAAUUAUUAAAAGGCAAUUGGGUUGGAAGGAAGUUCUGUCAAAAUACAAUCCAGGUGUGUAGUUCUCUGCUAAAUUUUGUAAAUAAAUUCUAUAAAAUUUUUGGUAAAAAUUUAUCGUUAAAAAAUUAUUAAAAGCAAUUAGGUUGGAAGGAAGUUCUGUCAAAAUACAAUCCAGGUGUGCAGUUCUCUGCUAAAUUUAGAAGUGAUUACUACUGAGGCAGUCUCAAAAAAGCAUAAGAGGACUUUAUGGGGUGAUGCAAAUUUUCUACAUUGCCUUUGUAGAGAUGGUUAUACAUUUGUCAAUACUCAUUAAUUUGUACAUUUAAAAAAGGUAAAUUUAUUGUAUAUAAAUUGUAUCUUAAUGAAACUGAUUAAAACACACAUACAAACCCCA